rnacentral:ncRNA from 1 species
AAUAUAGCACAUUUGAAAACUUAUAUAUACCUUGAAUAUGGCAAGGAGUAUCUACCGGGAGCCGUAAAUUUCCGACUAUAAGUGAUAUUAGUAUAGGCU